rnacentral:lncRNA from 1 species
AUCAACCGAUAAAAUUCACAAUCACCAUACGAACAACAAUUUGUAAAUUUUAUUUUAUUUUACUAUAACCUAUAAAACACGCAAAUGGAUAAUUUUAUAAUGAGAGACAGAGAGAGAUGUAUCUCGAAGAUUGCAAAGUUAAAUCACAGCUAAGUUUGACCGUUGAAGACAGUAAGAUAAUUUAAAUCAAAGGUAGCUAGAGUCGGCCACCUCCCCCACCCUCAGUAAAAACAAAAGAUUAAAAAAAAAAAAGUAGUAGUAGUAUUAAUUUAAGUUCUCGGUAAUAUAAUCAUACUCAUGCCACGAAUCUCACUCUAUUUACUUACCUUUUGACCAUUAUUGGAACCACUCUUGUAGCUUUCUAG